CCUACGGGUGGCUGCAGUGAGGAAUAUUGGUCAAUGGACGAGAGUCUGAACCAGCCAAGUAGCGUGAAGGAUGACUGCCCUAUGGGUUGUAAACUUCUUUUAUAUGGGAAUAAAAUGUUCCACGUGUGGGAUUUUGUAUGUACCAUAUGAAUAAGGAUCGGCUAACUCCGUGCCAGCAGCCGCGGUAAUACGGAGGAUCCGAGCGUUAUCCGGAUUUAUUGGGUUUAAAGGGAGCGUAGGUGGAUUGUUAAGUCAGUUGUGAAAGUGUGGGGCUCAACCGUAAAAUUGCAGUUGAAACUGGCAGUCUUGAGUACAGUAGAGGUGGGCGGAAUUCGUGGUGUAGCGGUGAAAUGCUUAGAUAUCACGAAGAACUCCGAUUGCGAAGGCAGUUCACUGGACUGCAACUGACACUGAGGCUCGAAAGUGUGGGUAUCAAACAGGAUUAGAUACCCUAGUAGUC
rnacentral:rRNA from 1 species